rnacentral:rRNA from 1 species
CACGUAGGCGGACUUUCAAGUCAGGGGUGAAAUCCCGGAGCUCAACUUCGGAAUUGCCUUUGAUACUGUUGGUCUCGAGUCCGGAAGAGGUGGGUGGAAUUCCUAGUGUAGAGGUGAAAUUCGUAGAUAUUAGGAAGAACACCGGUGGCGAAGGCGGCCCACUGGUCCGGUACUGACGCUGAGGUGCGAAAGCGUGGGGAGCAAACAG